rnacentral:rRNA from 1 species
CCUACGGGUGGCAGCAGUGGGGAAUAUUGCGCAAUGGGCGCAAGCCUGACGCAGCGACGCCGCGUGAGGGAUGAAGGUCUUCGGAUCGUAAACCUCUUUCAGCAGGGAAGAACGGUCACUGUGCUAAUCAGCAGUGAAUUGACGGUACCUGCAAAGGAAGCACCGGCUAACUCCGUGCCAGCAGCCGCGGUAAUACGGAGGGUGCGAGCGUUAAUCGGAAUUACUGGGCGUAAAGCGCUCGUAGGCGGUAUGUCAAGUCAAGGGUGAAAUCCCCGCGCUCAACGUGGGAACUGCCUUUGAAACUGGCAAACUGGAGUGUGUGAGAGGAUAGUGGAAUUCCAGGUGUAGGGGUGAAAUGCGUAGAUAUCUGGAGGAACAUCAGUGGCGAAGGCGACUAUCUGGCACAUAACUGACGCUGAGGAGCGAAAGCGUGGGUAGCAAACAGGAUUAGAUACCCGAGUAGUC